UAACCAUCUAGGGGAGCCGUAGGGAAACCGAGUCUUAACUGGGCGUUCAGUCUCUGGAUAUAGACCCGAAACCAGGUGAUCUAGCCAUGGGCAGGUUGAAGGUUGAGUAACAUCAACUGGAGGACCGAACCGACUAAUGUUGAAAAAUUAGCGGAUGACUUGUGGCUAGGGGUGAAAGGCCAAUCAAACCUGGAGAUAGCUGGUUCUCCCCGAAAGCUAUUUAGGUAGCGCCUCGGACGAAUACUACUGGGGGUAGAGCACUGUUAAGGCUAGGGGGUCAUCCCGACUUACCAACCCUUUGCAAACUCCGAAUACCAGUAAGUACUAUCCGGGAGACACACGGCGGGUGC
rnacentral:rRNA from 1 species